UACAGAGGUCUCAAGCGUUGUUCGGAUUCAUUGGGCGUAAAGGGUGUGUAGGUGGCGCCGUAAGUCGGGUGUGAAAUUUCGGAGCUUAACUCCGAAACUGCAUUCGAUACUGCGGUGCUUGAGGACUGGAGAGGAGACUGGAAUUUACGGUGUAGCAGUGAAAUGCGUAGAUAUCGUAAGGAAGACCAGUGGCGAAGGCGGGUCUCUGGACAGUUCCUGACACUGAGGCGCGAAGGCCAGGGGAGCAAACGGG
rnacentral:rRNA from 1 species